CAGUAGCCGCGGUAAAACGAAGGGGGCUAGCGUUGCUCGGAAUUACUGGGCGUAAAGGGAGCGUAGGCGGACAUUUAAGUCAGGGGUGAAAUCCCGGGGCUCAACCUCGGAAUUGCCUUUGAUACUGGGUGUCUUGAGUAUGAGAGAGGUAUGUGGAACUCCGAGUGUAGAGGUGAAAUUCGUAGAUAUUCGGAAGAACACCAGUGGCGAAGGCGACAUACUGGCUCAUUACUGACGCUGAGGCUCGAAAGCGUGGGGAGCAAACAGGAUUAGAUACCCCCGUAGUCCCUGUCUCUUAUAC
rnacentral:rRNA from 1 species